CACGUAGGGCGCAAGCGUUGUCCGGAAUCAUUGGGCGUAAAGAGCUCGUAGGCGGUUUGUCACGUCUGCUGUGAAAACUCGGGGCUUAACCCCGAGCUUGCAGUGGAUACGGGCAGACUAGAGGUAGGUAGGGGAGAAUGGAAUUCCCGGUGUAGCGGUGAAAUGCGCAGAUAUCGGGAGGAACACCGGUGGCGAAGGCGGUUCUCUGGACAGUUCCUGACGCUGAGGCACGAAGGUCAGGGGAGCAAACGGG
rnacentral:rRNA from 1 species